rnacentral:rRNA from 1 species
AUUGAACGCUGGCGGCAUGCCUUACACAUGCAAGUCGAACGGCAGCGCGGAGCAAUCCUGGCGGCGAGUGGCGAACGGGUGAGUAAUACAUCGGAACGUGGCCCAAGUCGUGGGGGAUAACGCAGCGAAAGCUGUGCUAAUACCGCAUACGAUCUACGGAUGAAAGCAGGGGAUCGCAAGACCUUGACGCGAAUGGAGCGGCCGGAUGGCAGAUUAGGUAGUUGGUGAGGUAAAGGCUCACCAAGCCUUCGAUCUGUAGCUGGUCUGAGAGGACGACCAGCCACACUGGGACUGAGACACGGCCCAGACUCCUACGGGAGGCAGCAGUGGGGAAUUUUGGACAAUGGGCGAAAGCCUGAUCCAGCCAUGCCGCGUGCAGGAUGAAGGCCUUCGGGUUGUAAACUGCUUUUGUACGGAACGAAAAGGUCUUUUCUAAUAAAGAAGGCUCAUGACGGUACCGUAAGAAUAAGCACCGGCUAACUACGUG